rnacentral:rRNA from 1 species
UACGAAGGGGGCUAGCGUUGUUCGGAAUUACUGGGCGUAAAGGGCGCGUAGGCGGUCUAAUAAGUUGGAAGUGAAAUCCCGAGGCUUAACCUCGGAACUGCUUUCAAAACUGUUGGACUGGAGUGUAGUAGGGGAUGAUGGAAUUCCUAGUGUAGAGGUGGAAUUCUUAGAUAUUAGGAGGAACACCGGUGGCGAAGGCGGGUCUCUGGGCAGUAACUGACGCUGAGGAGCGAAAGCGUGGGGAGCGAACAGG